rnacentral:rRNA from 1 species
GAAGGGUGCAAGCGUUACUCGGAAUUACUGGGCGUAAAGCGUGCGUAGGUGGUGAGUUAAGUCUGUCGUGAAAGCCCCGGGCUCAACCUGGGAAUGGCGAUGGAUACUGGCUCGCUAGAGUGCGGUAGAGGAGAGUGGAAUUCCCGGUGUAGCAGUGAAAUGCGUAGAGAUCGGGAGGAACAUCAGUUGCGAAGGCGGCUCUCUGGACCAGCACUGACACUGAGGCACGAAAGCGUGGGGAGCAAACAGGAUUAGAUACCCUGGUAGUCCACGCCCUAAACGAUGCGAACUGGACGUUGGGAGCAAUCAGGCUCUCAGUGUCGAAGCUAACGCGUUAAGUUCGCCGCCUGGGGAGUACGGUCGCAAGACUG